AUUGAACGCUGGCGGCAGGCCUAACACAUGCAAGUCGAACGAGUGGCGGACGGGUGAGUAAUGUCUGGGAAACUGCCUGAUGGAGGGGGAUAACUACUGGAAACGGUAGCUAAUACCGCAUACCAUCAGAUGUGCCCAGAUUGUAUUAGCUAGUAGGUGGUGUAAUGGCUCACCUAGGCGACGAUCCCUAGCUGGUCUGAGAGGAUGACCCGCCACACUGGAACUGAGACACGGUCCAUACGCCUACGGGAGGCAGCAGUGGGGAAUAUUGCACAAUGGGCGCAAGCCUGAUGCAGCCAUGCCGCGUGUAGGAAGAAGGCCUGCGGGUUGUAAAGUACUUUAAGCGGGGAGGCGGUACCAGAAGAAGAAGCACCGGCUAACUCCGUGCCAGCAGCCGCGGUAAGUG
rnacentral:rRNA from 1 species